GGGCGUCGAUCCGUCGCGACAGCGGGACGGUGGUCAUGGAAGUCGAAAUCCGCUAAGAAGCGUGUAAAAACGUACCCGCCCAACGGAUCGGCCCCGAAAAAUUGAUGGCGCUCGAACGCAACCCUCGAACCCCGCCGACGGAGGCUAGGGGAGGCCCCGUCGAGUAGGCGGACGCGCGGGUCGCUUCGACGCUCCCGCGCGAGCGGGGGCGGAGCGGCCCGUGGUGCAGAUCUUGGUGGUAGUAGCGAUCACCCAGGCGAGAACCCCUGAGGGCCGAAGUGGAGAAGGGUUUCUCGAGAACGGCACUCGCUCGAGAGUUAGUCGAUCCUAAGCUGCCGGCGGCAGCCACGAAACGGUCGAUCGGGCGCGAGCCCGGCAGCCACGACCGGGCAGCGAAAGGGAAUUGGGAACCUCCUUCCCAAACCCGGAACCGGAACGAGGCGGCG
rnacentral:rRNA from 1 species